rnacentral:rRNA from 1 species
UACGAAGGGGGCUAGCGUUGUUCGGAUUUACUGGGCGUAAAGCGCACGCAGGCGGCUAGACAAGUCAGAGGUGAAAUCCCAGGGCUCAACCCUGGAACUGCCUUUGAAACUGUCUGGCUAGAGUUCGGGAGAGGGUAGUGGAAUUCCUAGUGUAGCAGUGAAAUGCGUAGAUAUUAGGAGGAACACCGGUGGCGAAGGCGGCUACCUGGCCCGAUACUGACGCUCAUGUGCGAAAGCGUGGGGAGCAAACAAG